UGGGGCAGGCGGGGGCGGAGGUGGCCGAGGAGGGAGGCGGAGGUGGCUGUGGUGGUCUGGGCGGAGGGCGGCGGCGGUGGUCCGGGCGGACGACGACGCCGGAGAUGGUCCGGGCGAAGGGCGGUGACGGUGGUAAUCCGGGCGGACGGCGGCGAGGGAGAUGGUCCGGGCGGAGGGCGGCAGCGGUGGUGGUCUAGGCGGACGGCCGCCACAGAGAUUGUCCGGGCGGAGGCCGACGAUGGCGUUGGUCCGGGCGGACGACGGCUAUGGCGGUGGUCCGGCUGGAGGCUUCCGGUAGGAACGCCCGGUGGCGACCCGAUCCAAGCGGCGGGGCUGUUGGAGCCGUGGAGGAUAAGGUUGGGACGUGGGGUGGGUGUAUGCUAAAAAGUGCAGUUGCACUUUUUAGACGUUUUGGGCACACACCUUCGCUGGCCGUCGCAUCUCCUCGUGCGCGAGAUCACGACACACAGGUGAAUUCCUGUCGGAACCCACGACUCGAACACUCCGCACCCCUGUACUGCCCGCCGGGCCCACUAUCUCCCAUCCCUUUCCUUUUCUCCGUCAUGGCCCCGCUCCCCGCCGCCGCCUCGGCCCGCUCCCAUCGCCACCACCUCCACAUGCGCACCUUCGCGGCCAAUACCUCUUCUCGCUGUCGCGACCAGACGCCACCACCACCUCCCACUGCCGCGGCCGCACGCCACCACUACCGGAUGGGUCAACGCCUCCAUUAGGCCACCUUCCCGCCCCCAAGCACCGCCACGAAGUAGCCCCCGCCCCUAGCCGUCGGUAUGCUUAAGGGUCGCCACCGCUUCCUGCUUCCCCAACGAGGGACGGAGCUCAUCGCUCCCGGAGGCUGUCCUCCUCCCCGGUGGUGAACCCGGCGUGAGACGGGCCUCAUUGUGACGCGGAUCUGGAUUUGGGGUCGUCUGCGCCAUCCCCGAUGUACCCGGUGGCCACCAUGCACCGCGGGCACAAGCCGUCGUGCGCCUGCACUCAAUUGGCUCCGUGGCUCCUCUUCCUGCCUAAGCUCGUCCGCCCCGCGACUCCCCUUUGUGCAGACUUUUUUCAACCCAAUCAUUGGUCCGGCGAGUCCCAACUGGCAGCCUAACGCCGACGAGCCCGUCUACUGGUGGAACAAGAAAUGCUUGUGUACAGAGAAUAAAAUUGAUUGGCCUAUGUGCGUGGAGGUGAGCGUUUGUUUAGCCAUGGCAGCGACAACACGGUCCAAAGUGUUGUGGUGUUGAAGCUGUAAGUGAAAAAUAAUGUCGCUGAAGAUGGUGGCUGUAACAAUAGCAGGAGGAUGAUGCAUGCCAUGCACGUUCAGAGGAAACAACAGUUCAGAACUUGACAACGGAGGGUAGGAGAGAGGUAUGGGAGUAUUGACGACCAGCAAGCAAAGCAAGAGGAAAACCAAGGGGGCGGCGCCAUCCGUGCGCCACGACCACCUAGCGGGGUGGAUCUAGAUCUAGGAAAGCAUUGUCACGAGUGAUCGAGGA